rnacentral:rRNA from 1 species
UACAGAGGUCUCAAGCGUUGUUCGGAUUCAUUGGGCGUAAAGGGUGCGUAGGUGGCGAGGUAAGUUGGAUGUGAAAUCCUGGGGCUCAACCCCAGAACUGCAUUCAAUACUGCCUUGCUAGAGUACUGGAGAGGAGAUUGGAAUUUACGGUGUAGCAGUGAAAUGCGUAGAUAUCGUAAGGAAGACCAGUGGCGAAGGCGGAUCUCUGGACAGUUACUGACACUGAGGCACGAAGGCCAGGGGAGCAAACGGG